rnacentral:rRNA from 1 species
UACGUAGGGUGCGAGCGUUGUCCGGAAUUAUUGGGCGUAAAGGGCUCGUAGGCGGUCUGUCACGUCGGGAGUGAAAACUCUGGGCUUAACUCCGAGCCUGCUUCUGAUACGGGCAGACUAGAGGUAUGCAGGGGAGAAUGGAAUUCCUGGUGUAGCGGUGAAAUGCGCAGAUAUCAGGAGGAACACCGGUGGCGAAGGCGGUUCUCUGGGCAUGACCUGACGCUGAGGAGCGAAAGUGUGGGGAGCGAACAGG